rnacentral:rRNA from 1 species
UGGGGAAUAUUGGGCAAUGGGCGAAAGCCUGACCCAGCAACGCCGCGUGAAGGAAGAAGGCUUUCGGGUUGUAAACUUCUUUUGGCAGGGACGAAGAAAGUGACGGUACCUGCAGAAUAAGCUCCGGCUAACUACGUGCCAGCAGCCGCGGUAAUACGUAGGGAGCGAGCGUUAUCCGGAUUUACUGGGUGUAAAGGGCGCGUAGGCGGGAAUGCAAGUCAGAUGUGAAAUCUCCGGGCUCAACCCGGAAACUGCAUUUGAAACUGUAUUUCUUGAGUGAUGGAGAGGCAAGUGGAAUUCCUAGUGUAGCGGUGAAAUGCGUAGAUAUUAGGAGGAACACCAGUGGCGAAGGCGACUUGCUGGACAUUAACUGACGCUGAGGCGCGAAAGCGUGGGGAGCAAACA